rnacentral:rRNA from 1 species
UACGGGGGGGGCAAGCGUUGUUCGGAAUUACUGGGCGUAAAGCGUGCGCAGGCGGUUUUGUAAGCCAGAUGUGAAAUCCCCGGGCUCAACCUGGGAAUGGCAUUUGGGACUGCAAGGCUCGAGUGCGGCAGAGGAGACUGGAAUUCCUGGUGUAGCAGUGAAAUGCGUAGAUAUCAGGAGGAACACCGAUGGCGAAGGCAGGUCUCUGGGCUGACACUGACGCUCAUGCACGAAAGCGUGGGGAGCAAACAGG